UACUGUGUUUAGAGAAACCAUACCAUAGUUCUAUCCUAGAACUAGGGUUAGGGUUUGUUUUGACGGUAGUGGCCAAAAUGGUUAUCAAUAGGGGUGAGGUAUUGUUUCCUUAUUCUUUUAUUAUAUGAAUUUGAAUUGGUUCUUAAUUGAGAUUCGAUUUGAUAAUUUUAAAAUACGAGGAUAAGAUGUCAGAAAUCUUGGUAUCCAAAGAAAGGUCCCUAAGGGGCAUUCUUUUUUUCAAUCUAAGAUUCAAGAAGGGACUCCACGAAAGAAUAUCAAGACUUACUAAUUAUUAUACAUUUUUUUAUCGUACAUCUUAUGUUACCUACAUACACUAAAGUAAGGACUACUUAAUUCUAACGAGAAUCAGAUUAAAUAGGUCGAUCAAAAAUCAAUUUAGGAGUUGUGUUAUGGAUAAAAUCUCUUCCUCUUCAUUCUUUCAUAGAAUGAUACAAAGCAAGGCUGCAGGGUUUAGGUCAAAAAUAAACAUUAGGUAAGGUAGGUAUCCAAUAAAUAUUUAUCUAUCAUUAAUUUUAUGGUAUAUUCGGGCGUCCUUUGCUUAAAAAAAAGAGUAACAAAAGGAAUAAAAAAUCUUCCUAUUCCCGCUUCUUCUAUUCAGGACAUCAUUCCCGUACUCUUUCUUUUUUAAGGAAAAAAGAGCUAUAGUAUCGUAUUUUUAAUGCUCUCUAAUUCUACCAGAAUUCCUAUAAGAAUUUGUUAGGAGUAAAUUCCUUGAACUGAUUGAUCCAUGGCCUUAGGGCGGAAUCCCUUUUUGACUCUGUACCCUUGAUUCCACUAUGAUUAUUGAUCAAUAGUAGAAUAGAAUAAUCCCUUCAUAGAAAUAGUUCUCGCUUGGGCUGCUUUAAUGGUAGUCUUUACAUUUUCUCUUUCACUAGUAGUAUGGGGAAGGAAUGGACUCUAGGGAUACUACUAAUUGAUUAAGUAAUCAAAUUGUUGUAUCAAUUCUUUUCAUUAAUGGAUCAUUUUGCAUUAAUCAUUUUGUCAAACGUUAUUCUUUAAUCUUUUUCUUUAGUUUUGUUUCACUCCUGUAAGAAACUCUUGUAUUGUAAGUUGUAAUGUAAGAAAGAGCCAUUAUACCAAUUCAUAAUUUCUACUAGAAAUGACGAAUGGUUAAAAAAAGUUCUAUACAUAAGAAAAUUAGACUUUCUUCCACGGAAUUAUUCACGGCAUAUCACACAUUUUCCAUUUCCUUUUACUUUUUACUAUAGUCUAUUCUUAAUAUUAUUUUUCUUUCCUUCCAUGGAUUCUUUGGUCAAGAAUUGUCUUAGAUUUUUUUAUUUUGACCUGAUUGAAAUUAAGUCGAUGCAAUGAAAAAAGAAAUUGAAUUAGACUACUUAACUAUUUCAAUCUACUAAUCUAUUCUAUGUAGAUUCAAAGAUAAUAUAAUAGAAAGAAUCUAAAGUGUCGUAGAAAAAACUAUAUGUAGUUCUUUCUACCACACUUUAAGAUUCCAACCAGAUCCUUUCAUUUAAGACUUGGAUUUUUUUAUUUAAUCCCUUUUUAAUUUCUUCAAUGAUUAAUUGGAAUUCCAAUUAAUUAUUUUGGCUGACUGUUUUAACAUAAAUAAUAAGUAAAAAAGAAGUAGGAACUAGAAUGAACAGUGCAGUAGCAAUAAAUGCGAGAAUAUUGACUUCCAUAACCUCUUUAUUUUUUAUUUUCACAAUAACUCGGGAUGUAAUCCCAUGGAGAGGAAAAAGGGGUAUCUUGUAAAUUCAAGGGUAGGGCUUGCCUUCUGAUAAUACUGAAUCAAUUCAAUAUUAUGAAUAUCGGAUCUAUCAAAUCAAUUCAUGGAUGAGAGUUAUAUUUCACGGAUGAGAGUUAUAUAGUAUAACAUAGGAAGAUCCUCUAUCCACACUAAGACCAAAAUGGGUUUUUUGAUUGGAUUAGGAAUUCCCUCUUUUUUAAUCCUUUCUACUUUUUCUUUUCUAUAUCUCUAACCCACGAGCUUUCUUAAUCUUCUACUUUCUUAAUCUUAUACAAUUUCCCUUCCUUUUUCUUAUAGUUAUACAUACAAUUAUGUAUGUAUUAUAUGACCAACUUUCUAUGGGUCACAUAGACAUCCAAAUAAGCAGUAGAAGUGAGAUGGGGAAAAGUGGUCUGAAAUAAAAAGGGAAUACGAUUUAUGUAUGGAUUCCGGUAAAAUACCGGUACUCUAUUCCAUAAGAGUGGAAUAGGAAAUUAAGAUGAGGAUGGUAUCAUCAUAAAGAAAGAUAGAGUAAUAUAAUAUCCUAAAUUCUACUAAUCCACAUAUCGUAUGUGUGUCUUUCUUUAUCUUUAUCGAUCGGGAGUAGUGAAAAAAAAUUCCUAUAUGCCUUCCCUCCCUCUUUAAUGAGGGAUGCAAAAUAAAAAAGUGAAGUAAGGGUGCCCUGUGGGUAUUUGAUCUUGCUCCUUGCCCCUUUUUUUCAUGGAAAAAGGAAAUAUCAAUUUCUCCAUUCAUUGAACCCUAGUUCGGGACUGACGGGGCUCGAACCCGCAGCUUCCGCCUUGACAGGGCGGUGCUCUGACCAAUUGAACUACAAUCCCCGCGGGGUGUAUGGCAUACCCAUUCCUAAAUAGAACCAUAAUAAUAUUCGAUUCGUCUUUCGUACUCUAAGAAAUAGACGAAUCAUAUACUACAUACCCACAUAUUAUAUUAUACGUGGGUAUAGUGAGAGUGACAUAACUAGUAUGUCGUGAUUUUUAUCACUAAAAAUGGAUAAUAAUCCAACCUUCAAUAAGAAAAACUCUUUUGUUUGUAAGAAAGGAAUGAGGGAGAUAUGGAUUAGAAAAAAAUUCCCUUUUUUCUUUAUCUUUUAUUUCUGUAGAUCAGACAUUUUAUUUUAUGGAAGAAAAACAAAAGGAUUUAGUUCAUACUCACGAAGCCCUAGUUUUUUGGUUUGGGCCGAGCUGGAUUUGAACCAGCGUAGACAUUGUCAACGAAUUUAUAGUCCGUCCCCAUUAACCACUAGGGCAUCGACCCAGGAAGAAUUUAUUCUAGGGUUUUUGCUAAUCUAUGAUUAACCUCCUUUCAUAAUACUCCCUACCCCCAGGGGAAGUCGAAUCCCCGCUGCCUCCUUGAAAGAGAGAUGUCCUGAACCACUAGACGAUAGGGGCAUCACUAGACGAUAGGGCCAUAUACAACCGCUCGUGAUUAUACUAUAAUCAUAGUAUGAGCAGUUUUUUGGAAUUGUCAAUAUACUCGAAAAGUAUAAAUAGAUCCAAAGCAAAGAGUUUUUCCAACUUUUCUGUUCUGUUUUCAUCUAGGAUUUUUUAGUUGAUCGUUAUAGAUUAAUUCUCCGUGCUUCAUUUAGUGUUCAGACCAAAAAUGCAUCCAUCCUGCACUAAGUCAUAAAAUUCUCUAAAAAUAUAGAGAAAGUUUGAAAAACAAAGAACAAAAGUGAAUCAAUUUAGUAGAAAAGUAGUCUAUCAGAUUCGAACCAACGACUUACGUCUUAGCACGAGAUUACUCUACCACUAAUUUAAAAAGCCCUUUAUCGGAUUUGAACCGAUGACUUAUGCCUUACCAUGGCAUUACUCUACCACUGAGUUAAAAGGGCUUUUUAUUUAAUUCAAAAAUUAGCCACUUGGAUUUCCCAUUAUGGGUCUACUGCAUAAUGUACAUAUUAUAUAUAUAAUAUAUAUAUAGAGAGAGAGACAUUAUGUAGAGAUUGUAUAUGUAUAUAUCGAUAUCUUGAGAGCUCAAAAUAAAAUUAAUAAAAAAAACAUACCCUACAUAACAUAUCCAACUCUUCUUGGUUCAGGGUUUUCCGUUUCCGAAGACUAGUAAAAUAGGCGGAUUCUGGAACCCCAAGGAUUCAACGGUAUAUGGAUAUGGAAAAUAUAAGAUUUCCGAUCCUAUCGGGAAAAGGCGGGGAACAGAUACCCAAUAGGAUAUAGGAUCCUUGGGAGGAACUUUUGGUAAUGGCCUUGAUCCUCUAUGCUAUUUUUUAUGUGUUCUUAGUUCUAUUGAACUUUUUUCAUUCUUUUAAACAAGAAUCUAAUAAACUAGAAUUGAGUCAGUGGAAAAAAGGAGAGAGAGGAAAGUGUUAAAUGGAGAGAGUCGACUAAUCAGAGACUUUUAGGAUCUUCUUUACAUCAGGUAAAUCUGUCGGCCCUGUCCGUUUUUUUCUUUAAGUUACGACUCUUUGCUGCUUACUUCUAUCAAGCCAUAGGGAAAGUCUAUGAUGAAUUUGGAAAACUCAUCUCACUCUUACUCUAUGGCUCGGACUUAAUGGGGGAAGAAAACAUCUUCCAUAAUUUCUUUUUUGUUCAAUUCUGGACAAAAAAGAAAAGGAAAAAGGAAUUUAUGGGGACAGUGUUACCCCCUAUAUCCCCUAGUUUAUAUUGUAGGAAUAAUAAAACAAUUUAGCAGUCUGACACACUUACGUCCUUGCAAAGUAAAUAAUUAUUAUUGUAGUCGUAACCGUAGAAUAGGAUCCUAAUCAAAAUAAAUACAUUUGGUUCAGGCGCUAUUAGCAUGGUAAGAAUUUUUUUUUUACAGAACAGAGGGGCUAUCUAAAUCCUAAAGUAAAGGCGAGCGAUCGAAGUAGAAGUACCAACGGCUCAGUGUCAUGAGCCUUCUCCAUCUGAUUCAAUAAGGGGGAAUUAGCCUUCUUGUCAAAUGGCUAUCCUUGACAAAGGGUACCAUUUAUACCAUAAUCUACAAUGUAGCGGGUAUAGUUUAGUGGUAAAAGUGUGAUUCGUUCUAUAAAAUAACUGAAUUUGAAAUGAUAUACUUAAGGCAUCCUUAAGUUUUUUAUUUUUAUAUCCCGAUGAAAACUUUAGUUCUUAUAAAGGAUUAAAUCCUUUUCCUCUCAAUAGCAUAUUGAUGAAGAAUAUACAUUCUGGCGAUUUGUAUCCAAAGACUAAUUUAAAUUGCAUCCAAAAUAAAAAUAGGAUUAUGAGUACAGAGUCGCGAAGCAUAAUUUUGCAUUGGAUUAAGUAUUCCAAUUUUGAAAAUAUGAGUAAAGGAUCUAUGGAUGAAGAUACAAAAAAGUUGAUUUCCAAUCGUAACUAAAUCUUCUUAAAAUAAGGAAUAAGGAAGCCAAAUAGCUAAAAAACGAUAGUUUUGGUUUACUAGAACCAUCCGCAUAUUGUUUCAGCUCGGUGGAAACCCAAUUCUUUUCCUCAGGAUCUCUUGAAUGAAAUUAGGGAACGAAGUAAGUAGAUUAGAUGGAUUUCGAUAGAAUUUCUAUCUCCUACUCUAUAAGGAUCAUCUAGAAAGCGGAGAGCUUUGGUUCCAUUCAAAUAGAAAAGCUGACAUGGAUGUUAAGUGGUGAGAAUAUCCAUAAAGGAGCCGAGUGAAAUCAAAAUUUCAUGUUCGGUUUUGAAUUAGAGACGUUAAAAAUAAUCAACCAGCGUCGACUAUAACCCCUAGCCUUCCAAGCUAACGAUGCGGGUUCGAUUCCCGCUACCCGCUCCAUUCUGUAUAAAAGGAGUAUUCUCUUUGUCUAGACAUGUUAGAGGCUUGUAUUCAAGCCUUUUUUGUCCACCAGAGCGGAGUAGAGCAGUUUGGUAGCUCACGAGGCUCAUAAACUUGAGGUCACGGGUUCGAUUCCCGUCUCCGCACUUAGCAGUCUGUAUAAAAGGACUAUUCUAUUUCUCUAGAUAUGGUAGAGGGGCGUAUCCAACCCUUUUUUAUUCAUUAGUUCCUGGCCCUAGAGGGCAAAAUUGAGCAGUUUGCGAAGUCACUUGCCUUCAAAAAAAGAAGGCGCAAGGCUUCUCCCUACCCUACAGAAAAUAAAAAUGAAACGAAAGGGACAGUCUACCUCUCUCUUCCCUUUAAAAAAAGUUUGCCCGUUGUUUGUCCCAGUUAAUACCCAAUUUUUGGAGCUCUGUUGGCGAGUUCUAUUUCUGCCUCCGGAGCGCCCUCUUUUUUUGAGUGGGAUGCAAAGGAAGGGUAAGAUAGUAAGGGAUACGGCACUAGACUAACACCUAAUUAAUACUUAAUUUAAUAUAAGUAGUUAAACAGUUAACUAGACUAAACUUUUUAUCAUAGUACUUUGAUAAAUUAAGUGGGCGAGCGGCGGGAAUCGAACCCGUAUCUUCUCCUUGGCAAGGAGAUAUUUUACCAUUGAACUACGCUCGCUACGGUAUAUAUUUUAUAGCGUAUAUCCGCCUGGGUCGACCUUCUAUGUCUGGGUCGACCGUUUCAUUUCAUUUUCUAUUAUAUUAGAGUUUUCCUUUUUUUAUUAUCUGUGAAUGAAUAUUCUAAUGGGAAUGGAAUUUCAUAAUACUGAAAGAGAAGAGCUAGCAAUUCGGAACGCAAAUUGCGUUUUAAUACGUCUCACUAUUCUAAUUUUUUAGAAGAAAUGGCCUUUAUUAUUUCUUUUUAUGGGGUUAAUAAAUAUUAACCAAAUUUAAUUUAAGAAAUGAGAGAAUUCAGAAUAGCUACGAGAAAGACUAGUCCAAUCCAUAAUGAUGUACCGGAAAAUACAACAUUUUUAUUAUUUGACCAACCAUCAGGAGAACCAAAACAAGGGGUACACUAAUUACUAAGACCGAGGAAGUCGCAAUUAAUGCAAAAACAGCUAAUUGGAAAGCAAUAGUCAUAUUUCUAAUCCUCCAAGCUACCAUCAAAUAAAGUUGACUACAUAUUUGAUCCCUCACUUAAACCAAAAUUGUAAAAAAAUACAAGAAGUAGGAGGGGUUUAAUCAUGAAUCCAUUGAUUCUUCUCUUUAAUUCAAAUUUAUUACUUAAACCGCUUUUUUAUUUGGAUAUGGGGGUGAGAAGAGAUUAUUUACUCUUUAUUUCACAAGCGGGUAUAGCGGAUCCUGUAUCCGUGUAUACAGUAUACAGAGAUAUAUCGAAAAGGAACUUGUAUCUGAUAUCUUUCUAGAGGCUAAUAAAUCUUUUUAUUUUUAAUAUGGCUUUGUUCUAUUUGUAGGAGUAAAAUAAGGAUUAGGCUGUGGAGAGAUGGCUGAGUGGUUGAUAGCUCCGGUCUUGAAAACCGGUAUAGUUCUAGGAACUAUCGAGGGUUCGAAUCCCUCUCUCUCCUUUUGCUUAUUGAAUACGUUUGUUUCUUUCAUUUUUUUCCUGUCCCUUAUCUUUCUUUCAUAAAAAGGAAUGAAUGGCUCGGCUAGAUGGAAUAACCGAGCCAGAACAGAAAAAAAGUAGAACAGGUAUAAAUAAGAAAAUCUUAGUUAAGAGGGUUCAUGUAAAGAACAGGUUCCAAAUCACGAUCGAUUCCCUUUUCAAAACCUGCAGCAGCAGCUCGGGCUCUUCCUGCAUGCCAUAAAUGGCCCACAAAAAAGAAGAAUCCUAGAACAAAAUGAGAAGUUGAUAACCAACUUCUAGGAGAGACAUAAUUAACUGCAUUGAUCUCGAUAGCUACGCCACCCACGGAAUUUAAAGAGCCUAAAGGAGCGUGGGUCAUAUAUUCUGCUGAGCGUCGUUCUUGCCAAGGUUGUAUGUCUUUUUUCAACCUACUCAAGUCCAAACCAUUGGGGCCCCUUAGAGGUUCUAACCAUGGAGCACGAAGGUCCCAAAAACGCAUAGUUUCCCCUCCAAAGAUAACCUCCCCAGUUGGGGAACGCAUUAGAUAUUUACCUAAACCUGUGGGUCCUUGAGCGGAUCCCACAUUAGCUCCAAGACGCUGGUCUCUAACUAGAAAAGUAAAUGCUUGAGCUUGAGAAGCUUCUGGCCCGGUGGGUCCAUAAAACUCACUCGGAUAAGCUGUAUUAUUGAACCAUACAAAACAACAAGCGAUAAAACCAAAGACAGAUAAAGCAGCUAAACUAUAAGACAAGUAAGCUUCUCCAGACCAUACAAAUGCACGGCGAGCCCAUGCGAAGGGUUUGGUUAAAAUAUGCCAAAUUCCGCCAAGUACACAAAUAAAACCCAACCAUACAUGCCCACCAAUUAUAUCUUCUAAAUCAUCUACACUAACAAUCCACCCUUCUCCACCAAAAGGAGAUUUUAGUAAAUAACCAAAUAUAACACUAGGGCUAAGGGUCAAAUUGGUAAUUUUUCUUACAUCUCCCCCCAGGGGCCCAGGUAUCAUAUACACCGCCAAAAUAAAGAGCCUUGAGUACUAGAAGAAAAGCACCUAGACCUAACAAAAUUAAGUGAAUACCCAAAAUUGUAGUCAUUUUAUUUCUAUCUUUCCAGACAUAACCAAAGAAUGGAAAAGAUUCCUCAAGAGUCUCGGGUCCCAGAAGCGCGUGAUAAAUGCCACCGAAGCCUAAGACUGCGGAGGAAAUUAGGUGAAGUACGCCAGAUACAAAGUACGGAAAAGUAUCUAGAACUUCCCCCUGGCCCUACUCCCCAACCUAGAGUAGCUAAGUGUGGAAGUAAAAUCAACCCUUGUCCAUACAUGGGCUUUUCUGGUACGAAAUGGGCCACUUCAAAUAGGUUCAUUGCUCCGGCCCAGAAUACGAUUAAUUCGGCAUAGGCUACAUGAGCUCCAAGCAGUUUACCGGACAAAUUGAUAAGUCUGGCAUUCCCAGCCCACCAAGGAAAGCUGGUGGUUUCUUGGUCACGACCAGCUAAAAUGAAAGUUCCAUUAAAGAGCGUUUCCACGUGGUAGAACCUCCUCAGGGAAUAUAAGAUUUUCAUGAGGCUGAUCCUGAGCUGCCAUCCACGCACGAAUACCCUCGUUUAAAAGAAUAUUUUUGGUGUAGAAAGUCUCAAAUUCAGGAUCUUCCGCUGCACGGAUUUCCUGGGAAACAAAGUCAUAGGCACGUAAGUUCAGAGCCAAGCCAACUACGCCAAUAGCACUCAUCCAUAAACCGGUGACGGGUACAAAUAGCAUAAAGAAAUGUAACCAACGUUUAUUGGAAAAAGCAACACCAAAGAUUUGGGACCAAAAGCGGUUAGCAGUGACCAUGGAAUAAGUUUCUUCAGCUUGAGUUGGGUUAAAAGCACGGAAGGUAUUUGCACCAUCACCGUCCUCAAAUAGAGUGUUUUCUACGGUCGCUCCAUGAAUAGCGCAUAGCAGAGCCGCACCUAAUACUCCGGCAACUCCCAUCAUAUGAAAUGGGUUCAACGUCCAAUUAUGAAAUCCUUGGAAGAAAAGGAUGAAUCAAAAUAUCGCUGCUACGCCAAAACUCGGCACAAAGAACCAACCAGAUUGCCCCAGUGGAUAAAUAAGGAAUACAAAAACAAAAACAGCAAUUGGACCAGAGAAUGAGAUUGCAUUAUAAGGCCGCAAUUGAACAGACCGAGCAAGUUCAAAUUGGCGUAACAUGAAACCUAUUAGUGCAAAAGCCCCGUGGAGAGCUACAAAAGUCCAUAGACCGCCUAAUUGACACCAAGGAGUAAAAUCUCCUUGUGCUUCGGGCCCCCAUAGUAGCAACAAAGAGUGUGCUAAACUAUUGGCAGGGGUAGAAACUGCUGCGGUUAAGAAAUUACAACCUUCCAAAUAGGAACUAGCCAAUCCAUGGGUAUACCAAGAAGUUACAAAAGUUGUCCCUGUAAACCAACCCCCUAAAGCGAAAUAAGCACAAGGAAAGAGCAAUAGGCUAGACCAUCCUACAAAAACGAAACGGUCCCUUCGUAACCAGUCAUCCAUAGUAUCAAAUAGAUCAUUUUCUUCUUUAGGAAUUCUACCAAGGGAUAUAGUCAUAGUGAUCCUCCUAUUCAAUUACUUCAACCAUUUCCGAGCACCUCAUAUCACUUUCCAAGGCAUAUGAUAGUUUUAUUAUCUGUGGACGAUUUCUUUGUCGUUCAAUGCCCUUUUUCAAUGGUCUCGAAGAGAGAAAUUUCCCAUUUUUAUCUAUGGAGUCACAGUCACAACCGAGGUCGUGGUAAAUCCAUGAAUUUGAUUCGAUUUGUUUUUCUUAUACUAUAGAAAUAGAAAUAAAUUGUUUUUCUUAUACUAUAGAAAGAAAUAAACCUUUGAAUUCAGCAUUAUUCCAAGACUCCUAUUUGAAAGUCUAUCUUUUAAGGGAAAAAUGAAAAUAAAAGUAACCCUUCUUUUCCCAUUCCCUCUCUAUUGCAUGGGUGGAAGAACUAAAAUAGAGGAUUAUGAAAAAAAAUGGACCUUCGAAUUCCAAUUUAUGUGUAGCGCAAAGGAGUUGCGAUUUCUUCUUAUUCCUAUAGAACAUCUAGUAACAAGAAUAUGAAAUCGUAAAUAGCGAAAAAUUCUAGUCUUGCGCGGUCUAAGUCUAAGGAAAUAAAAAAAAUUCGCUUAUACAAUUUCAUCUACAUCGAAUUUAUAUAUCAGAAUAGCGGAUAGAGGCAUUAUUAAAGGAGUCAGGUCUACUUAGUUUAUGCUUCUUUACAAUUUUAUGGUGGAUUUGAUAAGAACCCUUUUUGCUUUCUUGAUAAAUAAUCGACAAAAAAAGCGUUUUUUUAUAUAACCUGCUUGUUUUAUUAUAAUUAUAACAAGUCCUAUAUGGAAAUGCUCGCUAAAGAGAAAAUCUAUUUGAUUUCUCUCGGCCAAUAUCGAUUUUUAGAAAAAAACAAGAAUUUUCUUCUUUUUUUAUUAACAUUAAGAAAAAAGAACAUAAUUAAAAUGGAAUUGGCAAUAUCAUAGACUUUUGAAAGAAAAAAAGGGGGUUUUUUGCAACCGUUAUUUCUUAUUUCUUGCCUAUAUCAUAUCACGGAAACCUUUCGCUUUGGAACAUGGAGAGAUGCCUGAGUGGACUAAAGCGGCGGAUUGCUAAUCCGUUGUACAAUUUUUUUGUACCGAGGGUUCGAAUCCCUCUCUUUCCGCUCCCUUGGAUCAUUUGGGACUUUCGAAUUGGAAAGAAUUCUGACCCCCGGAUUUUCUCAUAGAUAAAUGUACGAAACAAAUCCAAUAAGAAAAAAAAACUGAAUUUUUACUCCUCGCGUCCCGGAUUCCGUCCUGGGUCAUUAGAUAAGAAUCCAAAGAUAAAGAGUGAAACAAAGAAUAUCACUACUGUAUAAACAAAAAGUUUGAGAGUAAGCAUUACAUAAUCUCCAAGAUUUUUUUUAAGGAAUAGAUUACCAGUUUUUCCUUACCACACGGAUCCACUAGGAUGGUUUUUUUUAUACCUAAAAAUGCAAAAAAGAAUUCUUGAAAAAAAUUGCAAGAAUUCUUUUAUAAUAAGCACUCUUAUCAAUAGCAAAAAUAGGGUUAGGUGGUUAGGUAUUGUGUAGGUACCUUUAGGUACCUGCCCAACCUAGGUGCAGGGGAGUAGAAAGGCUGAUCCAAAUUUAUUGCUGUAGCUACCCAUUCAAUGUAGAAGAAUUUAAAUUUUAGAAUCAAAGGUUCAUAAUAUAAAAAUAUAAAACUUCUCGGCUUUUACCCAUUUUAAAUUUUUUUGGAAUGAACACAUCAUUCAAUUUGGCAUACAGAGUACUAAAGAUUUCAUCGAAAACUUACAGCAGCUUGCCAAACAAAGGCUAAUAGAAAAAAGAAUAGAGGUAUAACAGGCAUAAUAUCCAUGAUUGGAUUGAAAAUAGCAUAAGCUUCGGGUAAUUUGGCAAAGAAAAAACUAGUAGGAUAAAGAACAGAAUUAAAACAGAUACAUGUUAAACUAAGUAUAUUAGGCAUAACAAGCAUUUCAUUCUUGUAGAGUAAAUAAUUGGUUUUUUCUUGAGUUAUUUUUUUAAGGGAAAGAAGGAAAAGGCAGAUUCAAAAUCUUUUUUCUUCGGACUUUCCCAAACACAAAAUACCUCCUUGUAUUUGCACUCUCAAAUGAGAGUGGAAUAAAUUCGACUUUCAUAUAAUAUCUUAAUAGAAUUCCAUGUAAUGAUCAAUGCAUUUUUUUGAUUCUAUAUUAUCCGCAUGUGUAGAAUACUAGCAAGAGAAUAUCCCUCCUUUUUUAUGUAAUUGAAAUGGUAUUGACGAAUAACAAAUAAACAUACUAGUGUUUAUUAGUGUCGCAUAAAACCCGAAAUGGGGCGUGGCCAAGUGGUAAGGCAGCGGGUUUUGGUCCCGUUACUCGGAGGUUCGAAUCCUUCCGUCCCAGAUUGUUUCUGAUGAAACAAACGGUGAAAUCAUAUAGUAUUCCGUACGAGACAAAAGUGUAUUAAAGAGAAUAAUGAUAUCUUAUUCUUUCUCAGAAAACAUAAUAAAGUCUUAAGUCCAGUCAAAUUGACUAUCUUUAUUUUCAUGAAAAAUGGGAUCUAUCAAGCACAUUCAGGAUAUGCCUCUACUAUAAAAUCACUUAGUCAUAUUUUUUUCUUCCUUUUGGUAUUCGAGUUGAAGAAGUACGAGAAUUCUUAUCUACCAAAAACUUUCACUCUUUUCAUUGGAAUAGUUUAUUUAGUUAUUAUAGUUAAUUGUUUUUUUGUACUGAAAAAUAUAUUACUACUAGAAUUCUAAUUCUAGUAAUUAAAUUAAUUAAACUUUUUUGGAGGUUGAUAGUUUAUUUAUUGAGGAAGAGUCAAUCCUUCUUUUCUCACUUCAAGAUUGAUCAUCUCGAGCCAUCCGUUGAGGGUGGAAAUUUAAGAAUAAAUAAGUUUUACGCAAACUUGUUAGUCGUCUUUUUCAAACUAUGUUUCAUUCAUAUGAUAGAAUUUUAAUAUGGGUUUAAAUAAAUUGGAUCUUGGCGGAGGCUUCCCGGAUAAAUACUUACUUUCUUUUAUCCAUAUUGCUCCAUAGAUAGCAAGUUUUAAUUAGUAUAAAAAAACUAAACCAAUGACUAUUCAUGAUUCCAUCCAUAUUGGAUCAAUUCUCUAUACCACUUUGCAAUGAAAAGAGGAAUGUUUGUUAUGGUAAAACUUCGUUUAAAACGAUGUGGUAGAAAGCAACAUGCGACUUGAAGGACAUGAUCGAUUGUGGAUUUUUCUAUCCAUCAUUUUCCAUAGUAAUGAAAAUGCUCUUGGCUCGACAUAGCCUGUUCUAUUCGUUCCGAACCAAAUUUGCGCUUGGUUUAAGUAACAUAGUACACGAUGGAGCUCGAGAGGACAGAAUUUUUUUAUCAAGGGAAAGAAUCUAGGGUUAGUGAAAACUAAUAAAUUAGGCCAACUUUGUCAGUCUAUCCUUAAUAUAGAAAUAAAUCGAAAGGUUAAAAUAAGAAUAAAGUCCAAUAAAAGUAUUUCAGAAUCAAUCCCUCUUAUUAGAUUUCUAUAGAAGAGAUAAAUGCUUUAUCGAAGGAAAUAAGAAAAAAGGGUAUGUUGCUACUCUUUUGAAAGAAAAAAAAUAGGAAUUCCCGAAGUAAUGUCUAAACCCAAGGAUUUCACAAAUCAAAGAUAUAGGAUUCCAGAACAAGUAAACACAAUUUUCAAUUGUCUCAACAACAGAGUUGGAUCAGAAUAAGGAAUAAAAGUCAAUUCGUUCGAAAUGAGAAAAAGAAAAGAGUUUAAAGACGACUCAAAUUUUUUGGAAGGAUUUUGCCUUCGAAGUUUGUCAGGCAAAAUUAGCCCACUUGAGUCAUGAGUAUAAAUGAAAUUUGUUUUUUAUGUAAGGAAAUUAAUGCACGUCAUAGUCUAAUUUCUAUUAUUAUCGACAGAAAUUCGAAUCAUUUUCUCGAGCCGUAUGAGGAGAAAACCUCCUAUCCGUUUCUAGGGGGGCGUUGUUUAUCUACAUCUAUCCCAAUAAGCUGUCUAUCGAAUCGUUGCAAUUGAUGUUCGAUCUCGAAGAGAAGGAAGAGAUCUUCAAAAAGUAGGUUUUUAUGAUCCGAUAAAGAAUCAAACUUGUUUAAAUGUUCCAGCUAUUCUCUAUUUCCUUGAAAAGGGUGCUCAACCAACAAGAACUGUUUAUGAUAUUUUAAGGAAGGCGGAAUUCUUUAAAGAAAAAGAAAGAACUUUGAGUUAAUUGAAGAACUAAAUGAAUCAAAAAGUAGGAUAGGAGAAGAUUAUUAGUAUUCCUAGUUGUCUAAUUAUUUAGACACAAUUUACCUCUUUUUUAAUCCUAUUUGGAUUUAUAUUAUAUCGUGCCAAUUCAACAUAAGCCCCUAUUUUAUUUACUUUUUCUAUCUAAUUUGUUUUCUUACCAUUGUAUUUCCAUUGACAAAGGUCUAUUGAACAAAUAGAAUUUGUAGAUAGAUGGGUCUCUUUAUCGUCACUCCAUAUUCAAUUUUUUCGCCUACACUUCGCUCAAAUGAUAAGGGUGUUCCUCUUGCAUGUAUUCUCAUACAAUAUAAUAUAUUUUUUAAAUAAAAAUCGCUAAAAAUAAGAAGAAUUUGGCCAUCCUGAUUAGGGUCGCUCUUUUUUUAACUUUACUUUAGUGGAAUUUAACCGGACCUGUUCUAUUUGGCAUUUGAGUGUUUUUCAUGGUCGAUAAAAAAAUCUAUUGAUGUCUUGCUAGUUCAAUGUUUUGACAGAAGCGCACGGUGUAAUUCCAUUGAUUUUUGGAUUUCGAUCGUAUCUAAGAUCCUUUUUUUAUCUGGGUUGCUAACUCAAUGGUAGAGUACUCAGCUUUUAAGUGCGACUAUGAUCUUUUACACAUUUGGAUGAAACAACAAAUUCGUCCAUACUCUUGGUAGAGUCUAGAAGACCACGACUGAUCCUCAAAGGUAAUGAAUGGAAAAAAUAGCAUGUCUUAAUAAAAUCAAUCUUUUUUGAAUGGAAUCCAAAAUUACGAUUUUCUGGGUCUAAUGAAUAAAUGGAUAGAGCCUGGCUCCAAUUCUGGUAAAAUAAAAAGCAACGAGCUGAACUUCCUAAUUGGAAUGAUUCCCCACUCUAAUUAGACGUUAAAAAUAGAUUAGUGCCGGAUGCGGGGAAAGGUUGGGCUUUCCUAUGAGUGGACCCUUUAUUUUUUCUUUUUUUAGAAAUCCUAAUUAUUCUUGAUUAUGUAUUGAAUAAGGGAUGUUAUGGAUUGAAUGUGUAAAAGAAGCAGUAUAUUGAUAAAGAGGCUGUAUUCCAAAGUCAAAAGAGCGAUUGGCCUGCAAAAAUAAAAAACUUGUUCUGUUCUUUUUUUAAUUAGAACAAACAUAAACUAAUUGGGUAGAAAAGGAGCAGAAAAAGAUCUGUGGAUUAGACUCCCUUUCUUUCCAGGGUUUGUAUUAAAAAUGCAACACCCUGUUUUGACCGUAUUGCACUAUGUAUCAUCAUUCGAUAAACCGAGAAAUGCUUCUUCUCUCUGAUUCAAGUAGAAAUACAAAUGGAAAAAUUCGAAGGGUAUUCAGAAAAACAUAAAUCUCGUCAACAAUACUUUGUCUACCCACUUCUCUUUCAGGAAUAUAUUUAUGCAUUUGCCCACCAUUAUGGAUUAAAUGGUUCUGAACCUGUGGAAAUAGUUGUUAGUUGUAAUAACAAGAAAUUUAGUUCACUACUUGUGAAACGUUUAAUUAUUCGAAUGUAUCAGCAGAAUUUUUUGGAUAACUCGGGAAAUCAUCCUAACCAAGAUCGAUUAUUGGAUUACAAAAAUUAUUUUUAUUCUGAGUUUUAUUCUCAGAUUCUAUCUGAAGGGUUUGCGAUCGUUGUGGAAAUCCCAUUCUCGCUACGGGAAUUAUUUUGUCUGAAAGAAAAAGAAAUACCAAAGUUUCAGAAUUUACGCUCUAUUCAUUCAAUAUUUCCCUUUUUAGAAGACAAAUUUUUGCAUUUGGAUUAUCUAUCACAUAUAGAAAUACCCUAUCCUAUCCAUUUGGAAAUCCUGGUUCAACUCCUUCAAUACCGUAUCCAAGAUGUUCCAUCUUUGCAUUUAUUGCGAUUCUUUCUCAACUAUUAUUCGAAUUGGAAUAGUUUUAUUACUUCAAUGAAAUCCAUUUUUUAUUUUCAAAAAGAAAAUAAAAGACUAUUUCGAUUCCUAUAUAACUCUUAUGUAUCAGAAUAUGAAUUUUUGUUGUUGUUUCUUCGUAAACAAUCUUCUUGCUUACCAUUAGCAUCUUCUCGAACUUUUCUGGAAUGAAUCCACUUUUCUAGGAAGAUGGAACAUUUUGGGAUAAUGUACCCUGGUUUUUCUCGGAAAACCCUAUGGUUCUUUAUGGAUCCUCUUAUGCAUUAUGUUCGAUAUCAAGGAAAGGCAAUUCUUGCAUCAAAAGGCACUUUUUUUGAAGAAGAAAUGGAAAUGCUACCUUAUCAAUUUCUGGCAAUAUUAUUUCUGUUUUUGGACUCAGCUGCGAAGAAUCCAUAUAAACCGAUUAGCAAACUCUUGCUUCGAUUUUAUGGGGUACCUUUCAAGUGUACCAAAAAUUUCUUUGUUAGUAAGGAAUCAAAUGCUGGAGAAUUCAUUUCUAAUAGAUACUCGAAUGAAAAAAUUCGAUACCAUAGUCCCCGCUACUCUCCUCAUAGGAUACUUAUCAAAAGCUCAAUUUUGUACUGGAUCGGGGCAUCCUAUUAGUAAACCCAUUUGGACAGAUUUAUCAGAUUGGGAUAUUCUUGAUCGAUUUGGUCGGAUAUGUAGAAAUCUUUUUCAUUAUCAUAGUGGAUCUUCGAAAAAAUGGACUUUGUAUCGACUAAAGUAUAUACUUCGACUUUCAUGCGCUAGAACUUUAGCUCGGAAACAUAAAAGCACGGUACGAACUUUUAUGCAACGAUUGGGUUCGGCAUUUUUAGAAGAAUUUUUUAUGGAAGAAGAGCAAGUUUUUUCUUUGAUGUUCACCAAAACAACUCUUUUUUCUUUCCGUGGAUCAAACACUGACCGUAUUUGGUAUUUGGAUAUUAUACGUAUCAAUGACCUGGUCAACCCUCUUAAUUAAUCAUUAGACGAAAUUAAGAAACAGGAAAGGGUUGAUAAAUGAUCAAGAAAAAACUUUUCUAUUUUUCAUUCUGAAAUGUUCUUUUUAUUAUAAUAAAGAGUACGUGAAUCAACUUACUAAUUAAAAAAAUUAGUAGAACUUCCUCUUUGGAAUAGAAAUUGGCUAUUUCUACAUAGGGAAAGUCGUGUGCAAUGAAAAAUGCAAGCACGAUUUGGGGAGGGAUUUUUCUCUAUUGUAACAAGGAAGAAUUAUCUACUCCAUCCGACUAGUUCCGGGUUCGAGUCCCGGGCAACCCAUAUAGAAAAGACUCAUCAAAGUUUUUAACUUUGACUCACUUCAUUUACAAAUACAAAAUUAUUGGUUUGGUUAAUUUAGUUAUAUGGAUAGCUAAUCUUUGGGCUGACUUGGUUGACAUUGGUAUAUAGUCUAUGUUAUACUGUUAAAUAACAAGCCUUCUAUUAUCUAUAUUCUAGUUAAUACGUGUGCUUGGGAGUCCUUGCAAUUUGAAUAAACCAAGAUCUUACCAUGACUGCAAUUUUAGAGAGACGCGAAAGUACAAGCCUGUGGGGUCGCUUCUGCAACUGGAUAACUAGCACUGAAAAUCGUCUUUACAUCGGAUGGUUCGGUGUUUUGAUGAUCCCUACCUUAUUGACCGCAACUUCUGUAUUAUCGCCUUCAUCGCUUCCCCUCCAGUAGAUAUUGAUGGUAUUCGUGAGCCUGUUUCUGGUUCUUUACUUUAUGGAAACAAUAUUAUCUCUGGUGCUAUUAUCCCUACUUCUGCGGCGAUCGGAUUGCACUUUUACCCAAUUUGGGAAGCUGCAUCUGUUGAUGAGUGGUUAUACAAUGGUGGUCCUUAUGAGCUAAUUGUUCUACACUUCUUACUUGGUGUAGCUUGUUAUAUGGGUCGUGAGUGGGAACUUAGUUUCCGUCUGGGUAUGCGUCCUUGGAUUGCUGUUGCAUAUUCAGCUCCUGUUGCAGCUGCUACUGCUGUUUUCUUGAUUUACCCUAUUGGUCAAGGAAGCUUUUCUGAUGGUAUGCCUUUAGGAAUCUCUGGUACUUUCAACUUUAUGAUUGUAUUCCAGGCAGAGCACAACAUCCUUAGGCAUCCAUUCCACAUGUUAGGUGUAGCUGGUGUAUUCGGCGGUUCCCUAUUCAGUGCUAUGCAUGGUUCCUUGGUAACCUCUAGUUUGAUCAGGGAAACUACUGAAAAUGAAUCUCCUAAUGAGGGUUACAAAUUUGGUCAAGAGGAAGAAACUUAUAAUAUUGUGGCUGCUCAUGGUUAUUUUGGCCAACUAAUCUUCCAAUAUGCUAGUUUCAACAACUCUCGUUCUUUACACUUCUUCUUGGCUGCUUGGCCUGUAGUAGGAAUCUGGUUCACUGCUUUAGGUAUUAGUACUAUGGCUUUCAACCUAAAUGGUUUCAAUUUCAACCAAUCUGUAGUUGAUAGUCAAGGUCGCGUUAUUAAUACUUGGGCUGAUAUCAUCAACCGUGCUAACCUUGGUAUGGAAGUAAUGCACGAACAUAAUGCUCACAACUUCCCUCUAGACUUAGCUGCUGUUGAAGUUCCAUCUAUUAAUGGAUAAGGUUUUUCUGCUAACAUAUAAGAAUUUUUGAAGAAAGAAAAGACAGAAAUACCCAAUAUCUUGUUCUAGCAAGAUAUUGGGUAUUUCUGUCUUUAUUUUGAAUCUUUUUUUCUUCUUAAUCUUUCUAUUCAGAAUUCAGUUAACGACGAGAUUUAGUAUCCUUUCUUGCAUUUUCAUAACUCGUGAAAUGCCGAGUAGGCACGAAUUCCCCCAAUUUGCGACCUACCAUAGGAUUUGUUAUGUAAAUAGGUAUAUGUUCCUUUCCAUUAUGAAUCGUGAUUGUAUGGCCAACCAUUGUGGGUAGAAUGCUAGAUGCCCGGGACCACGUUACUAUUGUUUCUUUCUCCUCCUUCAUAUUGACCUUUUCUAUCUUUGCCAAUAAAUGAUGAGCUACAAAAGGAUUCGUUUUUUUCGUGUCACAGCUGAUUACUCCUUUUUUCCUUUUUAAAGAGUGGCAUUCUAUGUCCAAUAUCUCGAUCGAAGUACGGAGGUCAGAAUAAAUAGAAUAAUGAUCAAUGGAAAAAAGCAAAAAAUCCUUUAGCUGGAUAAGGGGCGGAUGUAGCCAAGUGGAUCAAGGCAGUGGAUUGUGAAUCCACCAUGCGCGGGUUCAAUUCCCGUCGUUCGCCCAUCGCAUUAUUGCAAAUUCCAAAAAUGCAAUUUUCCAUAUUCCUAGUUACGUAUUUACUUAUGGCGACGAAGAAUAAAACUAUCGCUAUAUUUUUUCCUUUUCCUAGUUCUUCUUCCAAGCGCAGGAUAACCCCAAGGGGUUGUGGGUUUUUUUUCUACCAAUGAGAGCUUUCCCUUCACCGCCCCCAUGGGGGUGGUCCACAGGGUUCAUAACUACCCCUCUUACUACGGGGCGUUUACCUAGCCAAUACUUAGAUCCGGCUCUACCCAAACUUUUUUGGUUCACCCCAACAUUACCCACUUGUCCGACUGUUGCUAAGCAGUUUUGGGAUACUAAACGGACCUCCCCAAAUGGUAAUCUUAAAGUGGCCGAUUUACCCUCUUUUGCAAUGAGUUUCGCUACAGCACCUGCUGCUCUAGCUAAUUUCCCACCCCUUCCACGUGUGAUUUCUAUGUUAUGCAUGGCCGUGCCUAAGGGCAUAUCGGUUGAAGUAGAUUCUUCUUUUCUCUCAAAAAACCCCUUCCCAAACUGUACAAGCUUCUUCCAAAGCAUACGGCUUUCUAGAUGUAUAUGACGAUCUCUAGACAGAUGGAUCUUAUAUGAAUCAUAUGAUGAAGUACCACAUGAGUGGAUAUAUAGGUAAGGAAUCCAAAUCUGUCGAAUCGCUCAUGUUAUGAUCUUCUACAUCCUAGGUCUCUGCGUUCCGUCAUCUGGCUUAUGUUCUUCAUGUAGCAUUCAGAUCGAAUGACUCUAUGAAAUUACGUCGAUACUUCCACAUAUUAUGGGUAACGUAGGAGACAUCCCUAUUUUCCCCCGGGGGUCUUAAUUACCACCGCUUAGCUUUCAAUUUGCCUCUGACCAUCAAAUUAAAUGUGAAUAACCCGUCCUCCUCUCUUUGAAACAAGGGGCACUUCCGGUUCUGUGCGUGCUUCAAACAAUUUUGUCUUCUCCAUAUUACCAUAUCUCUAGAGCCAAUAAUUUUCUAUGAGGAACUACUGAACUCAAUCACUUGCUGCCGUUACUCAACAGUUUUCUGUUGAGGUCUAUCCCAUAGAGGUAGUCAAAUUGGAUCAGUGAUCGAUUUCUAGGUUUCGUCGUUAACCUAAUUGGUUACUUCCAAUUACGUAAAUCAAUAGUUCAAACCGCACUCAAAGGUAGGGCAUUUCCCAUUGAUAUAGGAACUUUUGUACCAGAAACAAUAGUAUCUCCAAUUAUAGCCCCUCUGGGAUGUAAAAUAUAUCUCUUCUCACCAUCCCCAUAGUGUAUGAGACAAAUGUAUGCAUUUCGAUUAGGGUCGUAUUCUAUGGUUACGAUUCUACCAGAUAUGUCUUUUUGAUUCCGUCAAAAAUCUAUUUUACGGUAUAGGCGCUUAUGACCUCCCCCUCUAUGCCUUGCGGUAAUGAUUCCUCUGGAAUUACGACCUUUACCACAACGGUGCCGUCCAUGGAUCAAAUUAUUUCGUGGAUUGGAUUUCACUUGCCUGUCUACGGUUCCCUUGUGUGUGCUCGGGAUAGGUGUUUUGUAUAAAUGUUUCGCCGUAUUAUUAAGUAUUCUCCUUUAGUUUUUUUCUCUAUCUAGAAGUGGAAUAGAAUAACCCGGUUGAAGGGUAAUGAUCAUACGUCUGUAAUGCAUUGUAUGGCCCAGAAUAGGUCCUAUUCUUCUACCAUUUCCAGGUAGUCGAUGGCUAUUCACAGCUACCACCUUAACACCAAAGAAGAGUUCGACCCAAUGCUUUAUUUCUGUCUUAGUGAAUCCCGAUUCGACAUUAAAAGUAUAUUGAUUCUAUCCCAAUAAACGAAGACUUUUUUCUGUAAAUACUGCGUAUUGGAUUCCAUCCAUAAAUCGACUUUCCCUCCUAUGCUCUGAGUUCCAGUAUCGAUAAGAAUUCGAGUUCUUAUUGUUCUUAUGUUAUGGUAUGAAUAUACCAUACCAAUUCGUUAUGUAUGGAUGAUGGAUGAGAUUCCAUGGAUAGAGAGCCAGUUCCAAUAGACUUAUGGAAUGUUCCCGUUCGUGUGCAUCCAGCAGGAAUUGAACCCGCAAAUUUACCAAUUAUGAGUUGAGCGCUUUAACCAUUCAGCCAUGGAUGCUUAUCAGGGAUCAUCGUACAUCGUAAAUAACCAAUUUUCAUAUAGAAAGACAUAUCAUAGAAAAAUGAAAUCGAAAAUAUUCCGAGAUGGCAAAUAUUCAGAGAUGACUAUGAAAACACCUCUCUGGAUCCUCGAAUUGAAAGAGAGAUUGAGCGGGAUCAAGAAUCCUAAUUCUCGCUAUUUGGAAUGGAUCCAAUUCUAUUGAGUCUGACUCAUAGUGAUCGUUUCUCUUUAGCAAAGAAUGACCUUGGUUAUCAAAGGAUUGAACAACCGGGAUCCAUUUACUUAUGAUACCUAGUUGGCAUUGAUAACAAGGAUCUAAUGAAUUAUGAGUUUAAUAGAUCCUCUUUAGCAGAAAGACGUAUAUUCCUUGCUCAUUAUCAGACAAUCACUUAUUCCCAAACCUCAUGUGGGACUAAUCAUUUUCAUUUACCAUCUCAUGGAAAACCCUUUUUGUUCCGCUUAGCCCUAUCGGGUAUUUAAGUGAUAGGUUCUGUAGGAACUGGACGAUCCUAUUUGGUCAAAUACCUAACGAAAAAUUACGAUUUUCCUUUCAUUAAGGUACGAGGGCUUCUUAUUCCACAAGAACGAAAGCACCUUUUCAUUCUUUCAUAUACUAGGGGUUUUUACUUGGAAAAGACAAUGUUCCAUACUAAAGGAUUCGGGUCCAUAACCACGAGUUCCAGUGCACUAGAUCUUGUAGCACUUAGCAACAAAGCCCUAUCCAUUAGUAUUCCACAUAAGAAAUCCAUUCUAGAAAAAACUACAAUUAGAUUAGCUCUUCAUAGACAAACUUGGGGUUUGCGAGCCAAGGUAUGAUCGGCUCGGGAUCAUGGGACCCUUUUCUAUCAGAUAGGAGGGGCUCUUGUACAAAAUAGACUUACUAAGUAAUAACCCCAUAGAAUCUAUCUAUAUAAAGAUAAAGAGGCAAUCAUGUCAGGAAGCGGGUUUUUCUUUGGCCAAAAGGUACUUCGAACUUGGAACGAGCAUGAAGAGAUUAACGAGACUUCUUUCUCUUUUGAGUUUUUCUGGCGGACCUGUCGCGCAAGAUCAUUGGUCUUCCCCUGGAACUGAUGAAAAAAAGUGGAUCGCUUCUUAUGUACUCGCUCAGAAUGAUUCUUCUCUAUCUAUAGUUCAUGGCCUAUUAGAAGUAGAAGGUGCUCUGGUGCAAUCCUUACCGACAGAAAAAGAUUGCAGUCAGGUUGAUAAUAGUCGAGUGACAUUACUUCGUCGGUCCGAACUAAGGAAUCUGUUAGAAAUGUUUUGAAAUGGAUAUUGUUCUCUCUUUGAUCAGGGAUUGCCAUAUGAAAAGAAGUGAAGUUUGAAAAAGGGAACAGAAUGCUCAAACCGGAACUGCUAGAGGAACGAAUUUUCAAUAGCAUAACUUGGGCUCCUAGAAUAUGGCGCCCUUGGGACAAUCUAUUUGAUUGCAGGGUUUUGUUCCGAAGCAAAGAUAUCCGCGGAGACCGGUUCGUUCGUCCUAUUCUAAUAUUCAGGACCAAGAGGUACUGGAUUCUCUUUCGGAUAGGCCCUGAAAGGAGAAGAAAGGCUGAAAUGCCAACGGACCUCUGUCUAUUCUCUAAUUCACCCGAUCCGAUGGUACCCGUUUUUGGAACGUCCAGUGCCAAAGUCACUGAAUGGGUAAGUCACCAAUCCAAUCCCUUUGACAAAUCGGAUGUCAUAUUAGAUAUCAUAUUCUAUAUAUAUA
rnacentral:lncRNA from 1 species